rnacentral:lncRNA from 12 species
UCCAGCAUUGGGGAGUGAUUCCACGGGGACAGACCUGCAGACAGGCUUCUCGAAGGGGCGCUGCCAGGUGCGGGUCUCCCCUCUUUCCUGCGGGGGAACCAAUCCUCUGGGAGACCUGGCAAGCGGCAGAGGCUUCCUCAGAGGCACUGGGAGAAGAGCUCCGCGCCGGGUGCUUGGACUCUCAGCAGCCCGGUGUGGGGCGUGGGCUGAGGCGCGGCACCCUGAGGAGGCUGCGACAGGGAGACAGGUGCAGCGCGGACGGGGCAGGAGAGGCCCGGAGCAGAAGCGGGCCUCGGUCAGUUGGGUCAGCCUCCUGGGCUCCGUGGCGCAGGGAGGGGCUCCCCAGGACGGCCAGGGGACAGGGAGUCGGGCAGGUGCAGGCAGGUGUGCGCCUGGGCCCUGGGAGGAGGACCGUGCUCGGCGGCCUGCAGGCCCGGGCCCGCCGCACGUUCAGCUCCGUGUCUACACAGCCCUGCCAUUUAGUCAUGGGGGUCAGAGCGUUCCUCGGCGGGCCGCGUUGUCCAGGACCUGGGGACCGGUUUCGCAGGGAGGGAAGUGUCUGAGCGGACGUGACGGCCGGAGGAGGCCAGCCAGCAGGCGCGCACACACCUCCGGAACGGCCGCCCCCAGGGAGCCCUUGUGGGCAUAAGCGCUUCUUCAGUGAAUGCCAUCUCGAGGAACAAACGGUCUUUGCUUUGUUCCUGCCCCCGCCCCCGAUUAUUUGCUUGGCGGUCUAAGGAAGGACGGCUGCUUCUCACAGGCCAUCAGAACUACCUGGGGUGCUCGCUGACACGGAGAUUCCCGAACCCCACCUUGUGCAGACCUGCCAAGGUAGGGAGACUCUCUGAGAGUAAACCCAAAGCAUCUGCAUCUUACUAAGCACCUUAGAUGAUCCUUGUGACCGCAAAGUUCAGAAACGGCUGGGGGCUCAGCGGCUGAGCUUCUGCCUUCGGCCCAGGCCCAGGCCGUGACCCCGGGGUCCCGGGAUCGAGUCCUGCAUCGGGCUCCCCACAGGGAGCCUGCUUCUCCCUCUGCCUGUGUCUCUGCCCCUCUCUCUGUCUCUCAGGAAUAAAUAAGUAAAAUCUUAAAAAAAAAAACA